rnacentral:lncRNA from 1 species
GAUGCUGGAUUGUGCCAUUCAGAGCCAGCUCCCUUUGCUAUUGAAGAACUUAUUUCCCUACAUGUCAAGACUUCUGCUGGCUGAUGGCCCCCAGCUGUGAGCUCUUUCAGGCAUCACCUUUGGCUGCAAAAGGCUCCCUCUCCUGAAGUUACUACCUGCAUCCCUGGAGGCAGACUUCAUCUCAUGUCUUCAUCCAAAGUUUGAACAAAUUGGCUAAGAAGGUGCUAGACAUGUAAAGGGACUAUUUUUUUUCUUAAUUCAAAUGUAGGAGGAGUAUGGAUCUCCAGGAACCAGAAGAGCUGCAUACAUAUACUAGGUCUGGCAAGUUGGUGCGUUUAGUGCACCAGAAAUCACUCCUUUGGAAGAAUAAGGCAUCUGGUGGGAGAGCUCAUUCUGAGGGAAGGAUGAUGAAGGAAGAAUAUGGUGAAGUCGGUCCUACUAAGAAAACCUUAGCCAUGGAAGGAUAAUUCUGAGUAUAGUCUGGUGUCUGCCACUAAAUGGUGAAUGGAAGAGAUGGAAGGGGGAAGUACAAACUGGACUAGAUACUCCACUUAAACAUGUAUGAAUUGCUGGAGGCAGGCACAUGGCUGAGGCACUCUCCACUAGUGUAGUGCUGGAGCUGGCUCCUAUCUGCCCUCCAGAGCUGACUGUAUGCAUCGCUCUCCAGUGACACCACCAUGGUAGCUUGAAAUCAGCCAUGGUGGGAAUAUUUACACCAUGGAAUUUGGCAAGUCCUACAAAUCAGGACUGUUUUGUCCUAUGGAGAGCUGCUGAUUUAACAUUUGCCAGCAUACUACUGUUGGAAUAUAAUCAACAGGCUGAAAGAGAGAAGAU